CCUUUUCCCACACUUAAUACUCCAUCGUUCUAGCACCAUCUGUUGAAAAGCCCACCCAUUCCAAUGAACCACGGUGGCCCCUCUGAGCAGGUCUCCUGACCACAUAUAUGGACCAUCAAGCCUGUUGCGUGGAUCUGCAACCCUCCAAAGGACUGCACAUCACCAGCAUUUACAAAUGAGAGGAAUGAAGCUCAGGAGCCCAGGCACCAGCCUACAGGCAUAGACCAGCAGGUGGUAGAGGCAGGAUGGAGCUCCAGCCCAGCUCGCAGUCAUAUUUCCGUAAAGGAAGACCAAGCUACAGAACAGCCACCAACCUGAGCAGCCAGAACAAGCUUCCAAGAAGGAAGAGUGUGCCAUCAUUCAGCAUCUGCAUUUCACAUGAGUGCGGCGAGCCUGCAGCCAGCCUCUAUAAAAUGAGUUAUCAACCUUGUCCCACCUCAGCCUCUCCUAUCCAGAACCACACCGGGACCCAAGGCAGACACAGAGAGAAGUAUGUCCAGUGAGAGAUGAUGUAUCAGAGUAGGGCACAACCAUCCAUCCUAACAGGCUAAGGGCAGCCACAUCAGCAGUCCAGCUCUGAAUGUUGUCACCAAGGUGACAUUAUCAUACUUACCUGCUACUUCAAAAAGUGGGAAAGCAGAUAAUGCUCUUUAGACAUUUGCAAAUAGAAAUAAAAAAAAAAAGU